UACGUAGGGUGCGAGCGUUGUCCGGAAUUAUUGGGCGUAAAGAGCUUGUAGGCGGUUUGUCGCGUCUGCUGUGAAAUCUCAAGGCUCAACCUUGAGCUUGCAGUGGGUACGGGCAGACUAGAGUGUGGUAGGGGAGACUGGAAUUCCUGGUGUAGCGGUGAAAUGCGCAGAUAUCAGGAGGAACACCGGUGGCGAAGGCGGAUCUCUGGGCCUUGCCUGGACGCUGGAGGCGCGAAAGCUAGGGGAGCGAACAGG
rnacentral:rRNA from 1 species